rnacentral:rRNA from 1 species
GACGAACGCUGGCGGCGUGCCUAAUACAUGCAAGUUGAGCGAUGAAGAUUGGUGCUUGCACCAAUUUGAAGAGCAGCGAACGGGUGAGUAACGCGUGGGGAAUCUGCCUUUGAGCGGGGGACAACAUUUGGAAACGAAUGCUAAUACCGCAUAACAACUUUAAACAUAAGUUUUAAGUUUGAAAGAUGCAAUUGCAUCACUCAAAGAUGAUCCCGCGUUGUAUUAGCUAGUUGGUGAGGUAAAGGCUCACCAAGGCGAUGAUACAUAGCCGACCUGAGAGGGUGAUCGGCCACAUUGGGACUGAGACACGGCCCAAACUCCUACGGGAGGGAGCAGUAGGGAAUCGUCGGCAAUGGACGGAAGUCUGACCGAACAACGCCGCGUGAGUGAAGAAGGUUUUCGGAUCGUAAAACUCGGUUGGUAGAGAAGAACGUUGGUGAGAGUGGAAAGCUCAUCAAGUGACGGUAACUACCCAGAAAGGAACGGCUAACUACGUG